GCGACGCCUCGGGGAGGUUCGGGAGGGUUCGGGUGAAGCUCGGGCGGCGGCUGGGCCUCUCGUCUCAGCCGCCCUGCGGGCCUCGGGCGGGACGCGCCGGCCUCUCGCACGGUCUGGGAGGCGCUGGCCUCGGCCGCGGCGAGCGCGGACGCCCAUUGGUCCCGCUUGGCGCUCACCUGGGACCGCACCAGCUCUGUCCCCACUGGGCCUGGUGCAGGGAGGCGCGGGAACCCCGCCGCCGCGAGUGUGGCCAGAAGCUGGGCUUCGGGACAACGGGAGACUGAGUGCGUGUGUUAACUCGCCAGCCUGACCCGCAGCGCUGCCCUUUUGAAACAUCUCAAGACCUGUCCUGGAGGAAACAUACUACUUUAGUUAAAACUUUGUAAAUAGAGAAUUCUAUAGUUGAGAUAGUGACAAGAAACCUUUGGCAUGUCUGAAGUGAAUUGUGAGCGCUACCAUCACUGGUGUCUUGCCAUGCUUGUGUUAGCUGCUAAAGUAAGAACAAGAUGACUG
rnacentral:lncRNA from 1 species